rnacentral:rRNA from 1 species
UACGUAGGGGGCUAGCGUUAUCCGGAAUUACUGGGCGUAAAGGGUGCGUAGGUGGUUUCUUAAGUCAGAGGUGAAAGGCUACGGCUCAACCGUAGUAAGCCUUUGAAACUGGGAAACUUGAGUGUAGGAGAGGAGAGUGGAAUUCCUAGUGUAGCGGUGAAAUGCGUAGAUAUUAGGAGGAACACCAGUUGCGAAGGCGGCUCUCUGGACUGUAACUGACACUGAGGCACGAAAGCGUGGGGAGCAAACAGG